rnacentral:rRNA from 1 species
AACGCUAGCUACAGGCUUAACACAUGCAAGUCGAGGGGAAACGACAUCGAAAGCUUGCUUUUGAUGGGCGUCGACCGGCGCACGGGUGAGUAACGCGUAUCCAACCUGCCCACCACUUGGGGAUAACCUUGCGAAAGUAAGACUAAUACCCGAUGAUAUCUCUAGACGACAUCUGAAAGGGAUUAAAGAUUUAUCGGUGAUGGAUGGGGAUGCGUCUGAUUAGCUUGUUGGCGGGGUAACGGCCCACCAAGGCAACGAUCAGUAGGGGUUCUGAGAGGAAGGUCCCCCACAUUGGAACUGAGACACGGUCCAAACUCCUACGGGAGGCAGCAGUGAGGAAUAUUGGUCAAUGGGCGAGAGCCUGAACCAGCCAAGUAGCGUGCAGGAUGACGGCCCUACGGAUUGUAAACCUCUCUUGUCGGGGAACAAAAGGCGCCACGCGUGGUGUAUAGAGUGUACCCGAAGAAAAAGCAUCGGCUAACUCCGUGCCAGCAGCCGCGGUAAUACGGAGGAUGCGAGCGUUAUCCGGAUUUAUUGGGUUUAAAGGGUGCGCAGGCGGCGGAUCAAGUCAGCGGUCAAACUUCGGGGCUCAACCCCGUUUUGCCGUUGAAACUGAUCGGCUGGAGUCUGUUCGAGGGACGCGGAACGCGAGGUGUAGCGGUGAAAUGCAUAGAUAUCACGAAGAACUCCGAUUG